UUAGUUACAAAACACUUGGUCAGUGUUGAAUGACCAUGUACGGAGGGAAUACUUUGCAAUUAUUGGAACAUAAUCGAAGAGGAGAGGGCAAACGGCCGCCCAGUUGUUGCUAUGGGAGUAGCUCCAAUAGCAGCUAUGGGAGUAGCUCCAAUAGCAGCUAUGGGAGUAGCUCUAAUAGCAGCUAUGGGAGUAGCUCCAAUAGCAGCUAUGGGAGCAGCUCCAAUAGCAACAUGGUCUAUAAGCGGGAGGGGAAAACUGACGAGUCACAACAGGUUCCUUUCGUUGCGUGGGGAGGAGAUUAAACUCGGCUUUCAAUUUGUGUGAACUGAAACAUAUACGCUUCAACAUUACAACGUCCUCUUUUAAGCAGUUUUUUAACCGUUCCGAAGAUUCAGACAACCCGCUGAGCGACUGGACCAUACGGGGGACAAGCUGGCAGGUGGACCAUUCCUACGACGUUGGAGAAGCAUAGAUCUGCCUCUUGAUAUGAAUGCUGAUUCAUUGACAAGUACAACGAGCGAGGAUUCAACCCACCCAACAUGUUGUCCAGUUAUGGAAUGCCAUUGGGGACUAAACCGUCUGGGAAUAUACGGCUCGAUUCGACCAAAUGGACCACGUCAAGAAAGACGUGUUGGCAGGACCCACAUUUAACGUCUUCUGACGUUCCAAUCAAAAUGUAACGAAUGGCUUUUAUGGUCGAUUGUCAACUAGGAUGAACUACAGCCUAAUUAUACUUCAAACAAAACCAUAGUUUUGUUUUAGUUUUUAGUCAGUAGCUCUGAACCUUACUAAGCACCUUGUCAAAAUAAUCUGUAACUAAGUCUAUCUCGCAUGUCUGAUCUUUUUUUUUUUUCGUGCCUCUGCCAUGUAAUUUACACGUUGACUCAUUGCAGGACAGAGUACUGCCAGUGAAUUAACAAGAAAGGGCCGUCAAUUUGGUUUUGAUUGGAUGACGUUUCAACUGUCAACAAACGUAAAUUUGGUCAUAUGCACUUAAGAAAUAAGACUUUUUAUUUCAUUCAAUGUUACAACAUUUAUAAGAUGUCAGACAAAGCAUUGCAAAAAGAUUUUCAUUCCGUUAUUUGUGUCAUAUGGGGGGGGGGGGGGGGGGGUUGCUAAUCCAAAUGACGGUUGCCCACAAGGCGAUUCUAUCUAUGCCUCUUCUUGAAAUGCAUCAUGUUUUAGUCGGCACAGGCUUGUAAUUCUGCAUAGCAUGAUGAGCAUGAUAAGGUGCAAGGAGCAGAAAAAGUUAAUAUGGGUUCUAAAAAUAGUAAUAUUUUUUAAUAAGCUGAUGAAGCUGACACGUGGCCAUUGUUUCCUGUAUACAAAUAUUUUUAAUUAAAUGCAAACCCCAGUGAAUCAUUUACUCUUGUUUCUCUGUUUUGAGAUUCACACAGACUUAGCAGUCUUGUUUAAAUUUUACAAAUUGAGUUGAUAAAAUGAAUUUGGAAAUUGUUUUAAGUGUUGCAGAUGUUAUCUACGCAAAUUUUUCUAUUUCAAUACAGGGAUGGCGCCCAGGGGGGGAAUGACAGAAAAUGAUUGAGAAUCACUGGUCUAGAACAUGUUGUACUUGUUGAUUAGCUCAUGUUGUUAUGGCAAUGAAAACGCCCUCAGCUGAUAAAAUAAUGCCAGCGGUUGUUUUUUUUACUGAAAAUUAGCACCCUUUGUUUUUGCAUCAGAAGAUUUAUAAAAAUGUAUGGGUCCCUGAAAGUGUGACAACAUAGUUUAGUGCUCCCGAAAAAGUGGUAUGUUUCUCAUAUUAUUGAUCUGGUACAUGUUGUACCAAUGUGUUUCAGCAACUGUCAAUAAAAAAAAGGGAAAAUAUGGUCA